GCGGAAGUGCUGUACGUAUGUCGGAAGCAAAUGUAAACAUCGAAAGGUGUCGACUUUAUUGAUCGCUUUUUACCUGCUAAAACUGUGAAGUAUCGAAGUUUUUGGUUGCCUGGGAGAGUUAAGCACUUUCAAAAGAACCUCAACCAAAAAAAAAACCAAAAAAAACCGAGAAUGUCUGCACCACCAGACCACUCCACAGAACGACAACCAUUGCAUGAUGACCCUGAUCCACAAGAUCCUGAUCUGUCAUUGAUACAAUCUGGUCGAGCACCUGGAGAAUCAGGUCGCAAUGGAUAUUACACAGAUCCAAUAAUUUCCAGCAGUCUUGAAAAUCCAUACUGCGACACUACUGAGUCUGAUACAGGUCUUCGUCAUGUGACAAUGUCAGAGGUCAUCCCACGUCCAUGGCUAACAUAUCGUCAAAUUGAAAUUGCAGCCUACAUCAGUGUUGUUUUUUUCAUAAUCACAGGAAUAUUUGCUGUGAAGUUUGUCCGUCGGGCACGUCUCCAUCAAUCAAAAGGAUUGAUGGGGAUGGCACAGAGAGACCUACGCCUUACAGUGCGGCUGAUCUACGCCAGUGCUGUCUUGGGGAUUAUUCUUUACUUCAUCAUCAUUCCAGUUGCUGCUUCAUAAAUCUAGACAUGCAAAAUGCAAUGGCUGUAUUAGCAAAUUAAAGUGUGUUUUCUGUCUGCAGGUGCUGGUCAGUUUGACAAGGACACAUGUUACUUGGAGGUGUUUUUAUGAUUCUGUUCUGAAGUACUUGUGGUUAUUACAUUGAUUAUUUGCUCAUCUCGUUAUGUUCAUCAAGGGGAAGGUUUGUAAAAUAUUUAUCUCCUUUUCAGUUGUCUCAAUUGGCUGUUGUUAUGUUGCCCUUUGUUAUCCCUUGAUUAUGCUCUUGUAAAUUUGUUUCCAUUCUCUCUAAUUUUGGAUUGCCUGUUUGUAUGUUUUCAUGAGUAAUCUGCUCAUCAUUCAUCUCAGUGUUUAUCCACUUACAAUUUGGCAGUUUUUCAAAAGCAUGAAGUAUACUGUGUGUGUGUUGGAUCUUAAUAUCAUUUUGCUUUUAAAAAUUCAGAGGUGCUAGUUGUAUUCAUUAGUGGAGGAAAGUGUAGACCUAAUCAUGCAAAUGUGUUGAUUGACAACUGUUCUUUGUUCAUAAAUACAGAAGUAGAUGGGGCAGAAGACUUUGUCAGAAGAACUGUGCUCAUUGUUACAGUACCAGUUGUAUGUGAUACUAACCUUCACAAUUCAUAAGUUGUGGUUUUAAUAACUUUAGGAGAUGUAUACUUUUUCAAUUUAUAAUUUCUUUGUUAUAGCUUGCUUUGGCUUCAUUGGUUGCCACCAGUUGUAUGUUUAGUCAGUAGUUACAGGACAGGACCAUCUGUCAUCUUUCAAUUGUCUGAUUAAUCUUAAAUUUGACUUUAUGCCAUUGUUUAUUGCAUGUACACGCACACACAUGCCUGCUUAUAUAAAAUUAAAUUUUCCCUUGUAAAAUUCCACAUUCCAUGAAAAUCAGGUAUUUGUCAAGAUUUAGUUUUCUUUCUAUAAACUGUUUUGAGGAUUUAAACUUUUUGUAUGUAUUUAGUUUUCAAGCAUUCUGACACACAUAGAGCAUUUUUAAAAAGGUGAUAAUCUAAAUGGAGCUUGUUACAGCUGUUUUACCUUUUUAAUGCUCAUCAAGUUCUCAUUUUGAAGUUAAAUAGUUUAAAAGUAAACAGCUGUCUUCCCAGUCACUUUCAUAAUCCUAGUUUGAGAGAUCUGCUUAUGUUUUUACAUUUUUCACGACGUUUGUAAAAUGUUAUAUGUGCCUUUUUAUCAUCAGACUUCUAGUAUCACAAAUUUGACAAAGUUCUGGAAAAUCAUAGAAGAGGGCUUGGACAGGGGAAUGUUGCAGAUUUUUACCAUCUUAACUCUCAUUAUCUUGUAAAACCUGCUUAUCUAGCUGCAGAAUAUAUAUCCCCUCAGCCAUAUUUUUGCCCUGAAAAGCUAUCAUUUUCUCUUUUUGCUUUAGUUUCUUUCAAAUGCAUUAGCACUAGUGAAGCUCAUCUUCUUUAGGUCACUAGCUGCAAGUGACAGCAAGAGGUUCGGAGUGACCACCAUGUAGAUAGAAUGUUGGUUAGAAGACAGUGGAUAGUUACAGAUGUACAUCCUUGAUGGCACAAGAGUCAGGUUGGUAAACAUGUCAAUGAUAUCAUCUCAUUUGCAUUUUGACAUUGCCUUUGAACAUUGUGAAGUUCUUAUGCUAGCAGGAUAGUUAUCUGUCAGUAAAUGGUAAAUGGCAGCUUGUUGUUAGUGGUUUUGUCAAAGGUGUGGAAAGAAAUCACUUACUGCAUAAAGACAAAUUUUCAAAGACUUCAUAUGUGCAUAAUUUAUAAAUUUUUAGUGUUGCUUAAGCAAACUGUUAAGGCAAGGGUGGGGAACCAUUUUUUCUCAAAUGGCCCUUUUUUGAUAUUUAUAACAUCAUUCGCAGGCCAUACAAAGUUACGCUGGUCAACAAAUUUUUACAAAAGUUGUGUUAAUGAAAAUUAUUCAUUUCUCAUCAAUUUUUAUGUGCUCAACACAAAUAUGAUGAUCAAAAUGCAAACGUGGCUCUAGUUUUCUUGUUAUCUGUAAUAAUUAUUGUGUACAUCAUGAAAUGUAUGCUAAUAGUAAUUGACCACAGGUUAACACCUGUAAAAAAUCAAGUCAUAGACUAUGUCUUAAAUUUCUUUGCCUGUCUCCUGUACAGCUGUUCUGUUCAGGAUCAUCUCUGGGGAGUGUCCAGCAGUAGUCAGCCAGCAUGGUAGUGGACAAUUUUCCCUGGUGUCUUUUUUCCAUUGUUGCUAUAUCUUGAUGAAAACAUUGACCAUGUUCAUCACUAACCAUACCACAGUUGUCAGGAAAGAAAUCCAGAUGGGAAUGAAGUUUCUGAUACUCAUCAGCAUGUCUUCUACCAGUUCCUUGUAGUUUUCUGCCAUAACAUUCCUGAGAAAGCUUAUAGAUACUAGGCAAAAAGCAUUCCAUAUGAAGUAAGUAUGACAUCUUCUGGUAGAAGAUUCUAUUGUUGGAGUCUUGAACCUAGCAAUUCUGGCUUGUUCUUGGAUGUCCAAAUCACAAACCAGGUCAUUUAGUUCUUCCUGUGGUAUUCUAUGUUGGGGUUGAUGAUCCACCACAGGGAAAAUCUGGAUCACUGCAUGCCGACUGACCAGGAGAACAACAGGUCGGCUUACCCUCGUCCUCAUCAGCUGAUUUGUGAAUAUUCUCCUGGAGAUUCUGGAAUAGGAAGUCUCUCACCAUGUGGAACUGGUCUCAAUGCAGAAAGAAUGUUGGGGUAGACUAUUUUCCACUUCUUUAGCUUUGUUAUCCUGCCGGAAAGAGGAGGAACCAAGCAGAAACAGUCAUUUGUGUGGUUGCUUUGCUCUGUCCACACCAUGGGGACUGCAGACAGCAUUGAUGGCCUUUUACCCUUCAACCACUGUGAAAGUGUGUGUUGCACAUGUAGCACAGCAUAUAUGUGGGGCCCAAGGCUUGUCUUGGUCACCAAUCUUGCAUCCAAAGCAAAGAUGAUAUGCCUUCUUCACCUGAGAAGUGAUACUUUUCUUCUGGUUGGCAAAUGUCACUUCCCCACAAAUUCAGCAAAAAUUGUCCACAGUAUUAACGCACUUUCGAGGCAAUAGUGUUAGGUAUUGUAACUUAAGGAUAAAAUAAUAAGAGUUUCAUGUAACAGUAGCUUAAACUGUAUCCUACGUCUUGUUGUGACAGUCCUGCUGGGUACAUUUACACGUUGAAACAUAGGAAAUGAACUAUAUCAAAUAUCUUCAAAACAAGAGCCAAUAAAAAAUUUUCAUGGUCAUAUUCGUGUUCAGCUCAUGAAGAUACUACAGAUUAGGACCUUUUUAAGUCAGUAAGAAUUUUGAUGUUGACCAGUCUUAUCUACUUAAAAAAAUUAGCAUGUUCAGUUUGGUCAAGCUGUAAUUUCACGGCAGUGUGUUAACACUUUUGCAGUGUAUUCAAUACUACUGUCCUGUGAGUCACCACAGUCUACCUUUUUGUAAUUAAGUGUGCAAAAAAUGUGCUCUGCUUCUGUGAAAAGCCGAGCAAAACAACUGUUUAGAGUCUGUAGAAUAUGGUUAUAAUUAGAAAGUUCCUAAAGGAGACAGAACCUUUUUUCUUAAUGCACAAUUUUCUGCUUGUCAUUGUGUUGAAUAUUUGUAAGUCUGAACUGUUCACUAAGGUACACAGCAAUGUCAACUUUUUUUUUAAUUGCAUGGGCUGGCAUGGUUGAUGCCAGUUACACAUAUUAACAGCUGAUAUCAAACUGAAAGUGGUCUCUCCUGGCCUAGGGUGAAGGUCACAUGCAUGCAUAAUUCUCCCAAAUAGUCUCUAUAGGUCGUGGGCAGCUGACAAGAAACAUACGUGUCCCAUCAUGUACUGAAAUUGUAUAUGUUCUGUCUGUCCCUUAAUGAAAUUCCUUGUUCCUCAAAAAUGUAAGUUAUUAAUAUGAUUUGGUUUAUAAAUUUACGUUGGUAUAAAAAAAGCAUAGAUUUACUGAAAUUUGCAGGCUGGACAUUCCCCACCCCUGUGCUAUGGGUUUGUUUCAUAGGCUGUUACUAUCAUAAAAAAAGACAUGGCAUGAUGAAACUAGAGGAAUAUAGGACACAUUUUGUAAAGCUUUGUAUUAUAUAAUUAUUGAGUAUGGAAAUGCCUUAACUGCAGACUUAAGGCAUUUACACAGAGAGAGAGAAGGCUGUAUUUUAGGAUUGUUUUUAAAAGAGCUUUUAUGAUACUUGAUAACUACAUAUUCCUACUGAUUCAAUGUACUUUAGUUAUAUGUCAAAGUAAAAAUAGUUUAUCUUUUAAGUGUAGACUGUUCCUAGUCAUUUAAUAUUGUUUUCUCACAUGAUGUAUAUAUGCAUGAAGUUUUUGAUACUUGUAAAUAUCCUAUUCUUUUGUGUCUGUUUACUAGUGUGUUAAUUUGAAGUUGUACUUGAUUAAUGAUAGGCCAGUGAUAUACGAAUUGUAAGAACCUGCUGAUAGUAGCUGUAUUUAUAUAUUGUCACAUUUUAUCUGCAUAAAGAAUUGUUAUGUAAUUGAACUCCAUUCAGGCAGAGGAGAGCAGUGUGUUUGAUUAGAAUGAGAAGUAAUGAGUUUAGGAAUAACCUUUUGUGACUUUUCCUCUUGAUUAGUUUGAGGGUCAUGUAACAAAUUCUGUAUAGGACAUCAUAUUUACAAAAUCAUUAUUACAUACAGGUUAUACAUUAUUCCUUUUCCUGUCCAAGACAUAUGCGCUAUUAGACCAAUUGGAAUGUGUGUAUACAUAGUUUCAGGUGACUGAUGUUUAUAUUUGAUGUGUGUGAACAUGGUUUGGUUGAAGGAACUGACAUCUUUCAAAACUCUCAGGUGACCAAAAAAAAGGUGGUUUUUUUUUUUAGGGUACAAGUCAUUUUUACAGCAACAUUUUAAAAGUAAUUUGCAGCUUAUAUGUAAUAUUGUUGCAUUUAAGUGUGGGAUCAGGAAAUGGUCUGUUUUAAAAGUAAUUUGCAGCUUGCAUGUAAUAUUAUUGUGUUUAAGAGUGUGAUCUGAAAAAGGUUUGUUUUUAUGUACCUUUAGUGCAGCUUAAGACAUAAAUAGAGAUCUCUGUCAUGAAGUUUAAGGCUGAUGCUUAAUCUGAUCCAUUUGAAAAAUCUCUGCGUUUUUGUUUCCUGUGGUGACUAACAUAAGGCAAAGCUGUCAUAAUACAGUAAACUGUUUUGUACUUUUUUUAACCCAUGUGUCAUAGUUUCUAUUUUGGUAUCAUGUUGCAAUGGAUGUGGAGUAUUCUGCCUUCUGAGUUUUGGGUGAAAGUUGUUACAAGUUGGUCCAAGAGAUUCUGUGAACUGGAAGGAAGGUAAUCAGUGCUGUUUAGUUUUUGUUUCCUCCAGACAGCCAGUGUUUUUGUUCUUUACAUUGUGAACUUGUGGGCAUUCGCAUAGAAUAUCAUGAGGGUUUUUUGCUUUCUUUGCUUGUACAUACACAAGUGCCAGUGUUGUUGAUAAUAUGUAUUUGCUUUUUAUUUUUAAAAUAGAGAUACAGUCUGCAGAGGUCAGUAUAUUGGUAAUUGUUUGCUUUGUCUCACUGUUGUGUUGCCUGAAGGUGUUGGGGAAGGUCAGGGUCAUACCCUAACCUAUGUUAGUAAAGAGUGAGAUGGUCGAGACCACACUUUUUUUGGGACCAGCUUUAGGUGAGGGUGGUGCAUCUCCCCCUCUCACUGCCCUUCCCCAAACCCCAACCCCACCUCCCGGUUUAGUCAGGUACCCAUUCCUGACAGCUGGGUCAAAUGGGGAAGGUUACUGUGUGUAUGGGUAUUAAACUAGCACAACUUCAGGUUUGGACCAAAGUGCUCUAACAUCUGCACUACCCCUUUCCCAUACAGCAAGUAGGUGGUAUUCUAUUCAGCUGUGCUUUCUAUCUCCCUUUUUGUCCAAAUUCUGAUGUGCUUGUGACUUGUAUGUACCGUAUCCCUCGUGUACCAUCAUUUUCACAGGAGUUACCCAAUAGCCUACACUAGUAUGCAAGGCUCUGUUCAUGACAUUGUCUUGUCAUGGUGGUCUUUAAGCUCUUAGCUUGCUGGAGUGAUUUGUACUUUGCCAUAGACAUUGCAGUAACCUUGGCACUCUAUGAGCCUGUGUCAGGUCCAUUUAGGUGUGAUUCAGAUAGUGUGUUAAUAUGUGUUAAUUAUUUUUGCGAUGGUAAAUUAUCUUAAGUAAAUGCAUUGGUAUUCUUUUUUGUUUUAAAAUAGCAUUGUUCAUGUUGUUGAUCGGGCAAAUUAUUGAUAUAAUAAUUCAGUAGGUACCCAGGUUGACAUCUGGGUUUCAUUAGUUAUAUUUCUGUUGUAAAACAGUAGUUGACACACAAAUCAUAUCUUGAUGACAUGUGCUUACUGCUGACAUCUGUAGCCUUUGCAUGUACAGGCAUUUAAAAACAUGAUGUGUUUUAUUUGGCAGAGAACAGAGUGUCAUUUUCUGAAUAUUAUGUUCAUCUUUUGAUAUUUGGUUGUGCAGAACAUUUUCUUUCUUUCAUUGAAGUUCUUGAUGCCAAAGCUGUCUUUCAUGUUCAAGCUACAUUCCUGUACAGGUGGUCAAAAUCGUUGAUCAAAAGUAUACUUGCCAAUAAUUCUGCAUUUUCUUAGUAGUUUUAGCAGAUUCAUUAUAUCUUAUCUGUUACUUGUAAUACCCAUGCAGUCAACUUGGCAGAGUGAAACUUUUGUGUGCCUGUACAAAUAUACAUAUAAUCUUAAUUUUAAAUAAAUAUGUUUAGUGUUCUUAGCAUUUUAAAUGUCCUUGCACAGACUGGAAUUGUUUCAAAGGCUGUUGCUAAAUAUGUUAGUGUAGCCACAUGAACAUAAUCAAGUGUGGUGUCCAGAGUUUAUCAGCCAGUUGUAUGUCUUUGCAACAAUCUGGACAAAACCAACAAAACUCUAAUCUUGAACAUGCUGCUUGAAGCAAAAUCAGGAUUGUUCUCAAAAGAUUUACAUAUAAUAUGCUGCUUGACACAAAAUGACUGGGGAUUUUUCUUUGCACCAAGGCAAACUUUAACUCGCUGCUUCAAGCAAGUGUCAGUUUGCACACAAGGUCCACAGUGUUAGGAUUGUGGUCACAUGACAGCAGCUGACAAGGGGCUGACACUUGUGCACAGCAUAGUGAUGUGUGUCUAACCUGUGCCUGUGUGUGUGCAUGCACGCACAAACAGACAAUUAUGCAUAUUGAUGAUUUGCAUAACCGUGUGGAUGAGGAUCAGGCAAACAGAAGUAGAAGAGAUUAGGGGAGGAAAGGAAGAGAGAGAAAAUCAUUGAAGUUUUGUUACAAACUAAUGACAGCUUUGUGUUCUAUUUAACUGCCCUGUACUUUUGCAUUUGAUUUCAUGUUUGACUUGGGUAGGUCCUUAAGCCACCAUCUGCAUCUUUAUGGUCCUUGUGCUGGUAUAGCAAGGGUUAAUAGGAAAUAGAGCUUAAUAGUUAUAGAGCUUAAUGCUUAGUAAACAAGAGUUGCUCAGCCAGCCUCUGCUGGUGCAUAUUUAGUGGGAGGUGCAUAUUUAGAGGGAGGGAGGGUGUGACUAUGGGCUACACUACUGUGGUAUGGGGACCAUGAAGAAUUGACUGCUGAAAGUUAUAUAUUUGCUCAGUAACAACUGCUGACAGUUUUCUCAGUUACAACUGCUGAAAAUAGGAGGAGACUUUAUCUUGUCUCUGAUAGGGCAGAGCAUAGUUUCAAGGCAGCUAUGUUAUUACUAACCUCAUUUCAUUACCUUAUUACCAGCAUCACCUUAUUACCUUAUGUUAUUACCAUAGGUGAGACUGGAGUCCUAGCAGAAUAAAAAAGUAAUCAAAGGUACAAAAUAUAUGAAUGUGGGCAUGUCUGACUUCUGAUGUUACCAGGACCUUCUUAUCAGUUAAAGGUGGAAGAAGUACAAAUUCUUUUUUACAAUAUGCACAGACCUAUGCACUCAUUGAUGACAGGAAUGGAGGGCUUCUUGCAGUCAAACUGAUGAAGAAUCUAGUUAACAAUAUUGAUGCUUAAAACUGGUUAUCGUUAUCAGAUAACGUUUACUUUCUUUCAAAACCAGGAAGCCACUUCAGCAGGUUUGGCAAAAUGGUUACCAUGGCAACAUUAUUUCGUUUGUGAUGUUUUUCAUUUGUGCAUUGUAUGCAUUUGUGUUUGAUUUUCUGGACCACAUAUACACUGAAAAGGAUGAGUUUUUUGGGGGAUUACAUAUACAAUGGUAAGAAAAGUUUCAUAUCUUAAUGCAGAUAUUUUUUGUCUUCUAUGCAUUUCCAUAUUUGCUCAUCUUAAUAUUGUGGGAUGUUUUCCAUAUUUGUCUUAUCUUAAUAUUAUAGGAUGUUUCUGUGAUGAAUCAGGUUUUGCUGGUGUCUGUACUGGUGCACUCAAGUACAUCUAAUUGUUUUUUUUACUACUUUUGACUUGAUGCAUUCUCUCUCUCUGUGUGUAAAGCCAAGUCAGCUGAAAUGUUGCAUGAGCCUAAUCAGUCCUGUUGAUUGUGGGUAUCCCACAGUAAGUUCUCUUUCUGUUUAGAUGCUGUUAUCUGUUGACAUCCACCACUACCCUUACAUACCUUUACUGAAACAACUUUCCCAGAGUCAGAGGUUGCACUAAACACACAACUGUGGCUGCACUGAACAUAUGCCGCAGGUAGAUCUGUUGAAGUAGUGGGUAUCAGACACAAAGAAAGUUGACUGGGAAGACUAGAUGUGAUAAUAUUACACAUCAUGUUUUAGUAUUAUGUACAUGAUAUGCAAAACAGAUUUCUGGUAAAAGCUGUACUGGAGAAAGCCAGUCCUUAUACGAAAAAAAUUUGUAUUGUUGUUUGGUGCUAGUGCACAUAAAACAGAUGGGCUGACAGGUGUUAAAACGGAAUUGAAAUACUAUCUAAAUAUAUCUGCAGGUCCUUCUAAGAACAGAUGUGUUGAGGUUGUGUACAAAUUGUAGUUAGUGUAGAAAGUUAAAUGAUUUUUUAUAGUUAUAUAUUUUAUUAUUACUAAGAGGGGCAUAUAGAAUAGACACUCCCUUGAAGCAGAUUAUUCAAGCUUGCUAAGGCCAAUGACAGGAACUCCCUCUGUUUAUCCACCAGUGAUGGGCAUCUGAUUUAUUGUGACAGAUAAAAAAGGCAGUGAGGGUGAAAGAUGACAUAAAAAGAAAGUAGGAGGAGGGUGUUGACAUCCUUCUAUCAAUUGAAGACCUAAAUAAGGUGCUUACUUUGCAAGCCUGUUAACAUGGUGAUGGUAAUUUUCUUGAAAUACAGUGAACUAACUUUAUCUGAGACUGUUCACAUUCUGUCUGGUGUAUAGUUAUUAUACUCAGGAUAUGUAGUUUGUCUUCCUGCAAUACAUACAAUCAUUAAUUGUUGCUUGCACUUACUUCUUCCUUCCAUGUUGGUUAUCUGCUGAUUAAACAUAAUUUUAUACUGCUAAGAAAGUGAAAUGACUAAAUAAAAUUCAUAACACUGAAAUAAUUUUUCUGGAAAUAGUGUAUAUGGAAAUAAUGGUUUAGGAUGUACAGCAGUAGAAUAAAGUUUGCCAAAUCUGUUUUUGUACUUUUUAUGAGGGCUAUGUGCUGGGUUGCCUAUGCAUUUUGUAUGCCAAGUAAAUGCAAAAUCAAUCUUUUUGUCAAUUUUUUUAGGCAUGGUAUUAUUAUUAGUAUGGUAUAUAGCUUAUACAUGUAAAUGAUCUGCCAUUUAACUAAGCAUACGAGUUUUCAGUAUUGGGAUCAUGAUGUAUUUAUGUACAGAGUGGAUUUUCUGUAUUCAGUAACAUUCCACUUCUAAAUAAAAACAUCUAGAAGCUAA
rnacentral:lncRNA from 1 species